rnacentral:rRNA from 1 species
CGUAGGUGGCAAGCGUUGUCCGGAAUUAUUGGGCGUAAAGCGCGCGCAGGCGGCUUCUUAAGUCCAUCUUAAAAGUGCGGGGCUUAACCCCGUGAUGGGAUGGAAACUGAGAGGCUGGAGUAUCGGAGAGGAAAGUGGAAUUCCUAGUGUAGCGGUGAAAUGCGUAGAGAUUAGGAAGAACACCGGUGGCGAAGGCGACUUUCUGGACGACAACUGACGCUGAGGCGCGAAAGCGUGGGGAGCAACAGGAUUAAGAUACC